GCCGCUGAACUUGAAGCUUAUUAAUAAGAGGAGGAGAAGAAAGUAACAAGGAUUCCUCUAGUAACGGCGAGUGAAGAGGGAAAAGCUCAAAUUUUGAAUCUGGUGUCUUCGACCCCCGAGUUGUAAUCUAGAGAAGUGUUUUCCGCUUUGGACCGUGUACAAGUCCCCUGGAACGGGGCGUCAUAGAGGGUGAGAAUCCCGUAUAUGCCACGGACUACCAAUGCUCUGUGAUACACUCUCAACGAGUCGAGUUGUUUGGGAAUGCAGCUCAAAAUGGGUGGUAAAUUCCAUCUAAAGCUAAAUAUUGGCGAGAGACCGAUAGCGAACAAGUGCCGUGAGGGAAAGAUGAAAAGCUCUUUGGAAAGAGAGUGAAACAGUACGUGAAAUUGUUGAAAGGGAAGCGUUUGAAGUCAGUCGUAUCUGUCGGAAUUCAGCCUGGCUUCUGCCUGGUGUACUUUCCGUCCGAUGUGUCAGCAUCAAUUUUGACCGAGGGAAAAAGACGUUCGGAAUGUGCCUGUCUUCGGGCAGUGUUAUAGCCUUGCGUUGUAUGUCUCGGUUGGGAUUGAGGAAUGCAGCGCGCCUGUUGGCCGGGGGUUCGCGCCCCUCGGUGCGCGCUUAGGAUGCUGUGCAUAAUGGCUUUAAUCGACCCGUCUUGAAACACGG
rnacentral:rRNA from 1 species